ensembl:lncRNA
CCGGCGCUUUGUGUGAGCUCUCGGCUGGGGCAGGGCUGCUGGGGAGGGCCGGGGUGUGACCGGAGGAGCAGCACCGCGCGCACACUCAGGCGCACGGAGGGACACGGCCGCGGGGCCGGGCCGAGAGAGGGAGAGAGAGAGAAAGGAGCCGCCCGGCCGCGGUGUCUGCGAGGAGAGAGGGGCGGGAGGGGUCGGGCGCGCCAUGGCGGCGGAGCGCGCGGCUCCUGCCAGGUGGCCGAGGCGGCGCGAGCCGGAGCGGCGGCGCUGAGCGCAGCGAGCGCGGAGCCGGCGAGCAGCGCGCCGCUGUCUGCGGUCCGAGGCGCACCACGCUGCGUGGGCGGGGAGAGAGAGAAAGGAGAGGGAGAGACUCGCAGACAGACAGUACAGCCGGGAGCGCGGCGCAUAAAGGACGGGGGACGGGCGGGAGGGAGAGCGAGCCAGAGGGGAGCCGGGCAGGCACGGAGGGGACCGGGGCGAGGGCAGGCGGCGCAGCCCGGCGAGAGGAGCCGGCCCGGGCGGGAGGCGGCGGGUCGGGCGGCACCGCGGCACCGCGUUCGGCCGGCGGCGGAUCUCCUCCCGCGGCGGAGGCGGAGGAAGAGACCAUGUCUGGCAGGAAGACGGGCGCUGCGCUGUAACGCGGCGCGGCCGCGGCACCGUACACUCAGCGGGCGGCCCCGCGCCGAGCGCAGACACCGGGCCGGCGGGACGCUGGGCACAUCCCUUAUCAGGCAAGGUAACGACGAGACGAGAGAACGAAAGCAAGAGCGAGCCAGAAAUCCGCAGGCGCUCGUGCGGCGCGGUGUCCUUUGUUGUUGCGAUUUACGUUUAUUUUUUCGUUCCGGCGCGCUUUCUGGCGCCCCGUCGGUGUGCCGCGCGUCCCGGCGCUGCCCCGGGCGCGGGGCUGUGAGCGGGGCCGGGCGGCGGCGCUUUGCCUCAGAGGGGGGGGAAGGACGGCGCUGUGUGUCAUCGGCGGUCCGGCGGGGAGGGACGGGAGGUGCCGGAGCCGGGCUGCGGGGUGCGAGAGGCAGGUGGGGCUGCGGGGAGCGGGGGGUGGUGUACCGGGAGGAGAACGGUGUGAAACGCAGCAAAAACCCCAAACUUUCACUCGCCGGCAUCGAGGGAUACGCUCUGCGUUGCUAG